CAUUGUUGAUUUUGCUCAAAACUACUUCCAAAUGGUGGAGUAUGGCCCUAUAACCCUUUGGUGAGCUUAGUAACACGUUUGCAUUGAAAUUGACAGAUAUCAACAUUUCUUGUUUUUAUGAGCGCAAAAUGCUUUUCAGAGCGUUAGAAUCACUUUUUGAUCACUUCAAAUUGUGGAGUUUGGCCCUAUAACCCUUUGGUGAGCUUAGUAACACGUUUGCAUUGAAAUUGACAGAGAUAUCAACAUUUCUUGUUUUUAGGGUUAGGUUAGGGCAACUUACCACUUUUCAAAAACGUUUUUUUGGACCUAGCUCGGGCAAACCGCGUGGGAAUUCCGAGACCACCCUCGGAUAGCUCUAGCCCCAGCGGACUUUUUUGGGUACUGCAAUCUUGAUUUUAAAAAUUUGAAGUGAAGCGAUUUAAAGGAACAGCGGAGCGUGGGAAUUCUGAAUAGUGCCCGUGGUAGCCCUGGGGCCCCUCUACAUUCCCUAGUCCCUAUUGUGGGUGAUAUUUUUGAAAUUGGCAAAUUCCUGUGUUCCAUACACCGCACAACCCCAGGAAAUGUUGAAACAAUUACAAAAUAACCUGCACCUCAUACACAGCAUAGUACCAUGUAUUUUAACAUUGUUUAGUUUUGAAUAAAGCAAAGAACUUACCUUAGAGUAGUCCUCCGUCAACAUGCUUCGUUGGUUCAUUUUGGUAAGGUAACUAUGAAGCAGAAGGGAGGGAAUUUGGCGCCCCUAGUGGCAACUUUUUUUAACAUUGGAAAACACCUAAAAGCGUUGCCAUGGGAACAGGGAGAGGGGCGUGGGAAUAUGAACCCUAUGGGGUGGUAGCUAUGGAUCAGGGCUACGUUCCCACAGAAAGUGUCUAGGAGCACGUUUCAGGCCAAUUUGAGUCGUUUGCUAAUGGGUUAGGGUUAGGUUAAGGGCAACCUACCACUUUUCUAAAACGUUUUUUUGGACCUAGCUCGGGCAAACAGCGGGGCGUGGGAAUUCCGAGACCACACUCGGAUAGCUCUAGCCCCAGCGGACUUUUUUGGUCCUGGUGAACCCUCGGCAUAGCCACUAAUGUAGGCUAGGGUGCGAAAAUUUGAAACUGGCUAAAAGGCGUAAAUACUAAGUCCCGGGUGCACCCUCGGCCUAGUCCCUAAUGUGGGCGAUAUUUUAGAAAUUGGCAAAUUCCUGUGUUCCAUACACCUCACAACCCCAGGAAAUGCUAAAACAAUUACAAAAUAACCUGCACCUCAAGAAAAUAGUACCAGGUAUUUUAACAUUGUUUAGUUUUAAAUAAAGCAAAAAAACUUACCUCAGAGUAGUCCUCCGUCUUCGUUGGUUCAUUUUGGUAUGGUAACUAUGAAGCAGAAGGGAGGGAAUUGUAUCUAACGCGUGUGAGAGAAAUACCGUAGAGCUACUUCGAGCCCCAGGCUCUCUGCGGGUCUGGCUAACAGCUCUGCACUCCAAUCUCUCUGUCGAGCUUGAUAGGGUCAAGUGGGCGUGGCCGGUGCGACGUAAUAGUUCCUCCCUCCACGCUUGUCUAAAGGUGCUGCCAUCUGUGGCCGGAGUAGUUAUUGCAGCUUAUGUGUUCGAUCCUGCUUCCUAGUGGCUAUGUGAGGGUUAUGCAGCUUGUCUGUUCGAACCUGCUUCCCAGCGGCUAUGUGGGGGCAGCUUAUGUGCUUAAAAUACGUAACAAUAUCAUUCUAAACAAAUACAAAAUGGUCACCAAGGUCAAGGCCACCCUCCCCACACCACACUCUACAAACAUUAUCCGAGAGCGCCCCAUAUUGGACAUAAAGUAUAACUUUGCAACCGUUAAGUAAAUACGAUCUCAUUCUAAAUAAGUACAAAACGGUUACCAAGGUCAAGACCCCCCUCCCCACACCACACUCUACAGACAUUAUUCGAGAGCGCCACCUAUUGGACAAGGAUGCAAUUCAGGUCUAUAAGUAACAAGACAAGAAAAUACAAUUCACAAUAAGUGCUUUUGGUCUGUCAUAUUUUGCAUAUUGUAAUGUAAUAAUAAUUAUAACAUAACAAAGGGUUCUCGUCUUCAUUUCCGACGAGAACGGCCGGUCAAAAGCGUUGAUUUCACGGGGAUUCGAUCCGACGCUUUGGGUGUCUCUGUUGUCGUUCGCUGAUUGCUGGGUUGUAAAAAAAAAGAAGUUCUUUAUCGACGCGACGAGUGACGUGGGUUUUUUUCCUCUUUUCUGUCGGAUAAAUAAAGAGAAGAACGUUUCUUAGCCACGUUAUAGGAAGGUUACCGUUCUUCACUAUCGGGGUCCAGCCCGCGGCGCAGCCGCAGGACGGUCCCCUUUGGCGCCCCCUUCCGGCCACCGCACCUCUGUCCCGUCCCGGUCCCGGCGGGCACCUCGGACCGGGAAUUCGUCCGGUCCAACCGACGGUUCGGGGUCGAAAUUGGAACGCAUCGUCGGCUUUAAGCAGAGGCCGAAAUCGGAACGACCGGAACGAAACGGAACGCACAGGGUCAGGUCGGGACACGGGUGGAAACGCCCAUGUCGAGGGACCGGUGCCGUUAUAAACAAGCAUUGUCUAAUUCAACCUGUGUCCGUUAAACAAGCGUUUGUCUAAUUCAACCUGUGUCCGUUAUUGCAAUACAUCGCUUGUUUAUCAAAGAAGGCUUUAUUUUCAAUGCAUUUGUUUAUUAAAGAAUGGCUUUAUAUUCAAUGUAUUGCUUAUUAAAGAAGGCUUUGUUUUCAAUGUGAUUGUUUCUUAAAGAAUGGCUUUAUUUCGAGACGCUUUUAAUGUAUUGCUUUUUUAUUAUUCAACUAAACAAAACAUUUGUUAUCAUUGUUGUUGUGGACUUGUUGCUUAAACUAAAAAGAAGGGACAAGCGUGUGUAAUACAAAUAGAUUUAUUAAAUAACAACAAGCACAACACAGGAGGGGGGUUCCCGGGGAGGAGCAGCCUCACACUCUGCCGGGGCUGUGUUCCUCUCCAAGGUCUGACGCCGGGCCCUUCACCCUCCUCUCCUCCCGCUGCUUCCUCUGCUUCCUGGUCUACGCCUUUGCCGACGUAGAGGGAGCAGAAACUCUCCCCCUCUUACCGACUAUGGCCAAAGUCUUUCUGCGCCGGCUGGAGGCACCGCUGGUAGAUCUGCAGCUAGUGCGGUUUGCGUCCAGGGGAAGAGGAGCCGCCGACCUGCCCCUCCUUCCUGCGGGCGAUGUUCCACAGGGUGGUCCUGGGCACCUUCCCGGCGUCCUCCAGGGCCUGUUGGCUGAUGAGCCACUCACGAGCGGUGAGGCACCCAGGGCCCGCCUCCGACUCGCAGUACACGCUGCUCUUGUAGAGCGCGUGCCCCGUGUCCAGGGUCCUGGGUUGGGCGCACGUGGGGCAGGGGUCCCCCGUCUGGCAUUGGGGCUUCCCCUUUUGCUCCUCCAGCACCCGGGUGUCCUGCCUCAGGGACUUGUAGGUCCGGUGUGAGUGCACCCUGAACCACACCCGCGCGUCGCCCAGCCCCCUGGUAGACACGGAGCCCUCGCACAACCUACGCCUGGCGACGGCCUUCACCAUGGGUCGAAACAGCCCGGCGUUGGAGGCAUCAGAGGUGCGAAGGGGGUGAGCUCAGAGGAAGGGGGUUCGAACCGGAAACGGGGAACAAAAGACAUUUCCUGAAAGACAAGAAGAAACAAAACAAGUCAGUCAAGUGUAUUAAAAUGUACUAAUUGGGUGUUAAGAUAACAAUGUUGAUAUCAAUGUUAAUGUCAGGAGAUCAGCCCAUUAGGCAGGCCCGCCGCUCCCUAUACGCAGAGUGCUUAGCUCACCAAGUACCUGGGGGGGACUCAAUUUCGGCAAAUUAGAGGUUUUUACCCAAUAUAUAAAAAGAGGCCUAUAACCAUUAGGGGUGUUAGGGUAAUACUGUUAUUGUCAAUAGAACAUUAGGUUUAGCCUGAGAGUGACCUGUUGCCCUCCACCCACUCUUAACACCUCUCAUUUGCAAAUCACGGUUGCAUUACAAACACCGAAAUCACACAUUAAUAAUUUCACAUUUAGACCACCCAUUAGACUAAUAAUUACACACAAUUACACGCGACGCCCCGCCGUACUUUCAACCAUUAGUUUUACAUAUUUAUAAUUCGAAAUUCGUCCCAGCAUUUAUACCACAUACACACUAGGGUCUAUAGCAUAUAACCGAGUCGUCCUAUCACAUUUUAAUGCAUUUUUCACGAUUUAACAGCACUCGUUGUGAAUGCUAACCGCCGCGCCACCAGUUUCAAUGGGAAUCGCGACUCUCCGUAAUUUCAACAUUAAGUUUAACAUAUUUAUAAUUCGUAAUUCCAUUUAUACCACAUACACACUAGGGUCUAUAGCAUAUAACCGAGUCGUCCUCUCACAUUUUAAUGCAUUUUUCACGAUUUAACAGCACUCGUUGUGAAUGCUAACCGCCGCGCCACCAGUUUCAAUGGGAAUCGCGACUCUCCGUAAUUUCAACAUUAAGUUUAACAUAUUUAUAAUUCGUAAUUCGUCCCAGCAUUUAUACCACAUACACACUAGGGUCUAUAGCAUAUAACCGAGUCGUCCUCUCACAUUUUAAUGCAUUUUUCACGAUUUAACAGCACUCGUUGUGAAUGCUAACCGCCGCGCCACCAGUUUCAAUGGGAAUCGCGACUCUCCGUACUUUCAACAACAAGUUUUACAUAUUUAUAAUUCGAAAUUCGCCCCAGCCUUUAUACCACACACACUCUAUGGUCUAUAACAUAUAACCGAGUCGUCUGACCGCAUUUUAAAUCAGUUUCCACGAUUCAUUUAAUUACGUGAUGGUAGAACACUAGUGACGGUUGAAAACUUU
ensembl:lncRNA